AGUCCAGUGAUGAGUUGCUUUACUUUCUGACACCUCGUAUGAAAACUGCAUGUGCAGUCUAACAUUGCAACUCCGAGGCUU
ensembl:snoRNA